CAUGGAGAUAAGAAGAAGAAGAAGAGGAGAAGGAAGGAGACGGAGAAGAGGAGGAGGAAGAUGGGAUCUUUUCGCACCGCCUGAUUCUGUGGGACAGGUGCGCAUGGACUCUGGAAAUCAGUGGCAACCCUGUGGUCAGUGUUGCAGCGGAUUCAUGGACAGAGCAGCUGACGUGUGACCCGUCAGGACACCGGGAGGAUCCACCAGCAGGACAGGUUAUGUGUACAGGCUGGAUUAUCUUUGUCACCUGAUGGAGAAUUUAUAUUAAGAACAGAUGAUGUCAGGGAUCUUUCAGCAGUGGGUGUGUUUCAUUUAUGUUUAGAUAAAGAGCAGUAAUGAGAAACCAGAGGAGCAAUAAUCCCUGGGGGUGUCUUGGGUGGACAGUUGGGUGGCGUCCCACUUUUCUGCUGCUUUGUGUUGUGUGUUCCUCUCCAGUUACACCGAUGGAAGAGCAGAUCGGGGAUCGCACUGGACCUGACGAGCGGCGUCGCUCCAUCGCCCUCGGCUGUGCUGCCACGGGAUCUGUCAGUAGAUUUACACCACGUGACGGAUGCCAUUACUGCUGUCCAGAACCUCCAGAAGGAGACGAUCCAGGUCCAAGUGUUUCCCCACUGAGAGAUGACUUCAGCUGCUUUUAUGUAUAUGUAAAAAAAAAAAAAAAAUGUCACCACUGCUUUGACAGUCAGUCUCAGCACGAUCAGAUGUAGCAGGAAGGUAUUUCAUGGCUGGUUGUUUUGAGUCCAGGGUAAUUCUGCGGUGUUCUUUUCUGUCUCCUUAAUAUGUGUGUAUUUGCCUGGCUGUGAGUAAUGCAGCUCCAUCCACCCACACUCUAGCUUUUUUUUCUCUUUUUUUUUUGGGGGGGGCUGAUGGAGAACACUGACACUGCAGCCAUCGAACACCUCUCACACCUGCUUACUUCAGCCGCUGUCUGCGGUGACCUCCUCUCCCUGUUACCUUGGUAACCCUGUUAAACAUCUGGCCACUUCAUCUGCUUGUAUGAGACACUUUAGAUUCACCAGCAGUGCCUGUUUCAACGACGCUCACGUCUCACCAAAGCUAGCAUGCGUCUCUGCCAGAUCCAGAACUGGAAAGCUCUGAUAUUUUUAAUCCAGCAAUGUUGGGAAAAAAUCUGCUCAAGUGUGUGAGAAAUUUCUCACAUUUUGACAAAGUGUAACAAUCACAGUAUGUUCUUUGUUUGUCUUGAAACCACUUAAUUUGGAUGUGACACCAACUAUUUUUUGUUUUUUUGGAUACAGAUCGUCCUUUGUGUAUUUUAACUGUUCUGCGUGGGCGCGCGUGUGUCGGCGAGAGUGCAUGUGUUUCGUGUGCACGUGCUCUAUUGGUGUGUGUGUGUGUGUGUGUGUGUGUGUGUGCGCGCGUGUGUCUGUUCCCGUACAUGUGCAUGUGUAUCAUGUCUGUGUGAUGAAACAGACAUCUGUAAUGCUCUUGAAGCUACUGGCUGCUUUUCAGUGAUUAUCUCAUCGCUGCAAAAAACAAAACGAAAAAAAAAAAAAGAAUAAAAAAUGCCUGCAGCUCUUCUUUUUUAGCCACCGACGGGAUAAAAAUGUAUUUACAAAUGAUUCUUAGCAUUUGUUUUUUUCGACCUCUUUCGAGUAGCAGUUGGGUGGGGGACUUCUUUUGUGAUUUAGAUAAUCACAAGGAUGUCGCUGGAAAUUAAUGGUGUGUAGUUUUCUAAAUGAUGCCUGCUGGCGUUAAUUAGCCUGUCAGGAUGCCUACAGCCCCACCAUCUGAUACUUAAGCAAAUUACAGCAAAUGCUAAUAAUUAUGUGCAAAUAGCUUUUUACCCAGGUCUGGAUUCUACUAACAGUACCUCACUAAUAUCUAACAAUACUAAUGUCUGCUAACAAGUCUGAUGAUUACUAACCUGUUCUCUGAAUGCUGAUGGCUGGCCUUGUUCUCUCUAACCCCACUGACUAACCCCUCUGCUUUAUGCCCGCAGUCUGAUGCACACGCUCCUCUCUCACGCUCCUGCAAUCCUUCUGCCACGUAGAAACCAACUUCCCAUUGACCAUGACAGAAGACAAUCUGUUAGAUGCGAGCGAGACAAGAAGGGUUUCAGGACGUGGGAAGGGAGAUGUUGCUGACCACUCGAUGAAAAGAGGAGCAGAAACAGCUGCUGAUACCAAACCGGGUUGACCACAUACUUUGGAAGAAUCCCUUACAGCAACAACAACAACAACAACAAAAAAAAUCGAUUGCGAUCUGACUCCAAACGACCCCGUGUCGCAUUUUAACGGGCUAAAUUCACGUCCCUCAGAGACUGUGUACUGUGUGGUCAACCUUCGCAGGUGAGUGGCUGGCUCGUUUUACCGCGAGCCGAGCAAACCUCAACUCCACUACUAACUCACUACGGUGUUGAUACUAACAGCGGUGAGGCUGGAAAAGGUCCACCCGUUGCUCUUACUAACAUGUCUGGUGGUGAUGUCUGAAAACCAAAUUAUUCCGUCUCUUUACGAACCUUUAGUCAAGUCCAAGCAUGCCUCGUGGCACUACGUGACAACACUAGUGCCACGAGCAUGUGCUUUCUUAGCCACGGCUCUAGCCGUGUCAGCUCUUUUUCAAACAAGCUCGACAGGCUACUAACAUCUCCUGAAGUAAAAAUUAACAAGAGACUAACCGAAGAGCUUUUAUUGGCUCCCUGCAGACUAACAAACUAACCCACUAAUAAACUAAUAAUCUAACAAAAACUAACUGGAAUCACUAACAUUUUGUCGAAAGCGAGUGGCGGAAUCGGCGAAGCGCUCCCGUGAUGCUGUAGGAGCUGCUACACUCACGUGAACGUACUAACAGAAUUCAGUUUUGAAGAGUUAUUGAUGGGACUUGAAUGUAUGUGUGUGUGUGUGUGUGUGUGUGUGUGUGUGUGUGUGAGCGAGAGAGAGAGAAAGAGAGAGAGCCCAGAAGAGUGUGUGUGUGUUUUUUUGUUAGCAAAUACUUAAAUCCAAAUGAGUGUCCACCUGGUUUUUGUCCUCUCAGGCGACAUUUGAACCCAUGCAUGCAGUUUGUAUCCAUCAGAGCAGUUUCAGAAUAGUGUAUCAUGUUGUACCAUAUUGCUUAGCUGAUACGAGCCUUUGCUACAUCAUUUUGUAAUAAACUACUCUCACAUCAAUACAACUUUUUUAUUAUUAUUAUUAUUAUUAUUGUAUUGCAUUGUGUCUUUACUGUUUAAAUGAAGAGCUGAGACCUGCAGAGUCAAACACAGGAAGUCUCUUCCAGGAAAGCAUUGCGAUUGGCCACAACAACUACAGCAACGCCGAAAGGUUCUUACAGGAGCGUGUUCUCUGCACCCAGCCGGGGAAUUACAAGGUAUUUUCUAUUUUUGCGGUGUUAUAGAGUGCAAACUGCAGGAGUGCCAUUAUCUGAAAUAACAGCUUUGUGUCUUGAUUGCUGUAAUCAUACUGAAGCAUGAUUACGGCUGCAGCAUGUUCAACACACGCAGAGCCAUGCCGUCAUUUGAGAAUCAACUAAAUCUGUGUAAUUCAACAAUAAAAGAG
rnacentral:lncRNA from 1 species